rnacentral:rRNA from 1 species
UACAGAGGCCCCAAGCGUUACUGAGAAUCACUGGGUUUAAAGGGUGCGUAGGUGGCGCGUUAAGUCCGUUGUGAAAUCCCUUGGCUCAACCAAGGAAUGGCUUCGGAUACUGGCGUGCUUGAGGCCGGUAAGGGUCACUGGAACUGACGGUGGAGCGGUGAAAUGCGUAGAUAUCGUCAGGAACGCCAAUGGUGAAGACAGGUGACUGGGCCGGUACUGACACUGAGGCACGAAAGCGUGGGGAGCGAACGGG